rnacentral:rRNA from 1 species
GGAAUAUUGCACAAUGGGGGAAACCCUGAUGCAGCGACGCCCCGUGAGGGAAGAAGGUUUUCGGAUUGUAAACCUCUGUCUUUGGUGACGAAAGAUGACGGUAGCCAAAGAGGAAGCUACGGCUAACUACGUGCCAGCAGCCGCGGUAAUACGUAGGUGGCAAGCGUUAUCCGGAAUUACUGGGUGUAAAGGGAGCGUAGACGGUGAUGUAAGUCUGGAGUGAAAGGCGGGGGCCCAACCCCCGGACUGCUCUGGAAACUAUGUGACUGGAGUGCAGGAGAGGUGAGCGGAAUUCCUAGUGUAGCGGUGAAAUGCGUAGAUAUUAGGAGGAACACCAGUGGCGAAGGCGGCUUACUGGACUGUAACUGACGUUGAGGCUCGAAAGCGUGGGGAGCAAACAG